AGAGUUUGAUCAUGGCUCAGGACGAACGCUGGCGGCGUGCUUAACACAUGCAAGUCGAACGGAGCGAAGCCCUUCGGGGCUGAGCUUAGUGGCGGACGGGUGAGUAACACGUGAGCAACCUGCCCAUUACAGGGGGAUAGCAGCUGGAAACGGCUGGUAAUACCGCAUAAGACCCCGGGACCGCAUGGUCUAGAGGUAAAAGGAGAGAUCCGGUAAUGGAUGGGCUCGCGUCCCAUUAGGUAGUUGGUGAGAUAACAGCCCACCAAGCCGACGAUGGGUAACCGACUUGAGAGAGUGAUCGGUCACAUUGGAACUGAGAAACGGUCCAAACUCCUACGGGAGGCAGCAGUGGGGAAUAUUGGGCAAUGGGGGAAACCCUGACCCAGCAACGCCGCGUGAGGGAAGAAGGCCUUCGGGUUGUAAACCUCUGUCCUCGGGGACGAAAGAAAUGACGGUACCCGGGGAGGAAGCCCCGGCUAACUACGUGCCAGCAGCCGCGGUAAUACGUAGGGGGCGAGCGUUGUCCGGAAUUACUGGGCGUAAAGGGUGCGCAGGCGGCAGCUUAAGUUUAUUGUGACAGCCCCGGGCUUAACCUGGGGAUUGCAGUAAAAACUGGGCAGCUAGAGUACAGGAGAGGUAAGCGGAAUUCCUAGUGUAGCGGUGGAAUGCGUAGAUAUUAGGAGGAACACCAGUGGCGAAGGCGGCUUACUGGACUGAAACUGACGCUGAGGCACGAAAGCGUGGGGAGCAAACAGGAUUAGAUACCCUGGUAGUCCACGCUGUAAACGAUGGAUACUAGGUGUAGGUGUGGAGAACACAUCUGUGCCGGAGCAAACGCACUAAGUAUCCCGCCUGGGGAGUACGGCCGCAAGGCUGAAACUCAAAGGAAUUGACGGGGGCCCGCACAAGCAGCGGAGCAUGUGGUUUAAUUCGAAGCAACGCGAAGAACCUUACCAAGGCUUGACAUACCCAUUGAUGCAUUUUGUAAUGAGGUGCAGGUUUUCUUUUAGAAGACGAUGGGAUACAGGUGGUGCAUGGUUGUCGUCAGCUCGUGUCGUGAGAUGUUGGGUUAAGUCCCGCAACGAGCGCAACCCUUGUUACUAGUUGCCAGCGAGUGAAGUCGGGAACUCUAGUGAGACUGCCGUGGACAACACGGAGGAAGGUGGGGACGACGUCAAAUCAUCAUGCCCUUUAUGUCUUGGGCUACACACGUGCUACAAUGUCCGAUACAAAGGGACGCGAAGGAGCGAUCCGGAGCAAAUCUCAAAAAGUCGGACUCAGUUCAGAUUGUGGGCUGCAACCCGCCCACAUGAAGUCGGAGUUGCUAGUAAUCGCGGAUCAGCAUGCCGCGGUGAAUGCGUUCCCGGGCCUUGUACACACCGCCCGUCACACCAUGGGAGUUAAGGGCGCCCAAAGCCGAUGGCCUAACCGCAAGGAGGGAGUCGUCUAAGGCGAAAUUAGCAACUGGGGUGAAGUCGUAACAAGGUAACC
rnacentral:rRNA from 1 species